CUGCCUUAUUCACAAUCAAGAUCUCCUCAAACAUCUAAUGCUACCAACUGGUCCGAAGCAUGUGGUAAGUUUUAUUAUCAAAUGGCAUGAAGAUCUCAUGGGCUAGUAGUUUUAGUUGAAGGUGGUGGGGAAAGGAAAGGGGUUUUUGGGAUAGAUGGGAUUGUUGGAAUGGAAAUAGAUGGGAUUGUUGGGAUGGAAGGGAUGUUUGGGAUAAAAGAAGGGAUGGUGGGCAGAGUGAGAGAAGGCAUUGGAGGCAAUAUU